rnacentral:tRNA from 1 species
AGAAUUUUAAGUUAAAAAAACUAGUAGUCUUCAAAACUACCAAUGGAGCUUCUUCAAAUUCUG